rnacentral:lncRNA from 1 species
AGUCUUACUCCCACUGUGCCCCCAGCAACAGCCCCAAGUGUGUUUCCAGGGGGAGGGGGAGACAGCCUUGAAAACUUGCCUGAGGCUUUCUCUGCCUCCCAGCUGCCAAAGACAAGGGCUUUAGAUCUUCUCCUGCCUGUGAAGUCUGCAAGCUGGAUUCGCACCCUCCCCUGAGUUCUGGUCAGGAGGCUUCUCACCCUGUUCAAAUUGUUACAAAGUUCAGCUAGAGAAUCCUUUCUCCCUGUGGAGUUUUGCCCCUGCUCCUCUGGCCACCUUCCUGAUGGAUUCCUGUGGUGCCAGCCAGGAGUGGGCUGCUUGGGGACCCAGCAAGCUCCCAGGGCCUUUCUGCUGCUUCCCCCACCCCUGUAUUUCACUUGGCUCAGCUCUCUAACUUGAUCAGCUCCAGGUAAAGUCAGAAACUUCUCCUGCAAACAGACCUUCAUCUUCUCCAGUGAGGGUGUGUGUUCAGGAGACGAGGGUCUCCCUUUUCCACUUACACGGCUGGGGCACUCGCAGUAUUUGGGGUGUCUACUGGGUCCUUCAGGAGCAGUCCACUUCCUUCAGAGGGUCUGUGGAUCCUCUCAGGAUUGCUGGUUUGUUCUUGCAGUUGAUAUGGAGCUAAAAUUCACAAUGCAAGCCUCUGCAUGCUGCUCUGUCUGGAGCAGAAAUCUAGUCCCGCCUCUCAUCCACCAUCGUUCCCCCCACCUCCAGAAAACUUUUCGAAUGAAUAAAUAAAUUCACAUAGUUGGAAGACACAAGAUGAACACACAAAAAUCAACCACAUUUCUAUAUACUAACAAUAAAUGGAAACCAAAUUAAAAGCAUAAUAGAACUGACAAUCACACCAAAUGUAGAAAGUAAAAAGUUUCCUCUUCAAAGUUUUCCUUCUUGUUGAAGAAUAAAUUGUGUGUUGGAAAUGAUGGUUUCUUUUGAGGACUAACUUUCUUCAAGCCUCCUUGCUUUGUGUUAAUAACUCUUUGUUAAGCCCUAGCCUAUGUAACUGUUGAAUGUGCUCACAGGCCCGUUCCAGCUCACAGCCUAUGCCCCUUCCUUAUUUGGAAAUGUUAUUGUUUCCUUAAAACUUUUGUAACCAACUUCUUUGCUCUUCCCUGUACUUACCUAUUUAGGAAAGUUGUAGGCUAUUAGCAAAUCGGAUAUCAGUUUAAGAUUGUGAGGUCCUGCUCCAGCCAACGGACAUAGGACACGCAGCAAGGACAACCCAAAUGUGUAAGGGAUAAAUAUGUCUGCUUUUCCUUUGUUCAAGUGUUCUCCUGCCAUUGUUCCAUCUGCAAUUGAGCACCCUUUCUGCAGAAAGUAAAGAUGGCCUUGCUGAGAGAUCUUUUGUCUCUGUGCUGACUUUCCUUUGUGGCACCAAUGAUGUAUUUCUAACAAUUUUGAUAUUUCUAACAAUUUUGGUGGCAAUCGUAUGGGGAUACAUUCUCCUCCGGGGGCAUCUCUAGUCCUCUUUCAUGAGGAGGCACCACACCACCUCUUGCGGUGGCCUCAGGGGUAAGGGACCAAGACCCACCUGGUGCGAGGAAUAACCCGAGCUCUCAGCAAUGCAGAAAGAAACUGGCCAGCAACCUAGCUUAAAGGAUCCUCACAUACUGCAGCGAUGACUUUGUGCACAGACCAAGGAAGGCAAAGCCACAGGAGCCGGUCUUUUAGCACAGAUGCCGCCCUUGGAGUUUCCAGUACAUCAGCAUCAGCCUGGGGAUCACAUUCUCAUCAAAGGAUAGAAAGAAGGGAAACUCGGGCCAGCCUUGGAAGGACCGUACCUUGUGCUGCUAACCAUCGAGACUGCUGUUCGUACAGCGGAAAGGGAUGGACACAUGACACCUGAGUCAAGCAAGUGCCAUUAUCCUCAGAAUCAUGGGCCAUUGUUCCUGGGUCAAGCCCUACCAAAUUAAAGCUAAGGAAAGCUUAGUCUAUCUUUUUCCUUUCCUUUCCUAACCCAGUGCUUAAAUCCAUUACUAUUCCUACCACCAGCAACUCUAACCCCACUGUAGGGCACUUCUGUGGUUUAGGAGCAGAAGUCACUGGAAAGGAUCCUAUAGGCUUCUUUAAGGUGCACUUUGUUCUCCCUCCUCUACCUCCUACAACUGCACCUUUCCCAAACCUACAAAAUCAAACUAUGACUCGCCUCAUGCCAAAUGACAAAAGCAAGGUCUCAGUAGUAGAAAUAGGAGACCUAUGGCAAACCAUAGCCAUUGAAACAGGGUAUAAAGAUGUAAAUGCCUGGUUAAAAUAGAUUAAAUAUUCUGUUUGCACUUUAAACAAAAGUGACUGCUACUCUUGUGUGCAAGGUAGGCCAGAGGCCCACGUUGUUGCCUUUCCACUAGCAUGGUCCUCAAAUCAAGGGGACAUGGAGUGCAUGGUAGCUCUUUUUCAAGAUUCCACCCCCUGGAAUAAAGAAUUGUGCCAAGCUCUUUUUCUGCUAUUUCCUGAAGUUCAACACCCUGCGGAUCAGCCUGCGAGGGCCAUCCAGCCUCCAUCUUCCAAAACCAAUUUUACCUCAUAUAUCCAAUGACAAGGGGAAAAAUCUGGCAUUCCUUGGAGACUUAACAGGAUGCAGUGAAGUCAGUCACUUCCAAGAGCUGACCCAUCAGUCCACCCUUAUUCAUACACCUGCCCUUAGCGGAUGUAUGGUGGUAUUAUGGAGGACCAUUACUGGACACUCUGCCAAAUAAUUGGAGCAAUACUUUUGCUCUAGUUCAAUUGCCUAUCCCUUUUACUCUAGUAUUUCAUCAACAAGAAACAAACAAACAAACAAACAAACAUAGCUUCAAUUCUUACCUCUUCAACAACUAUAAUAAGUAUACUCCUUCUUCUUAAGUAUUAUGUUGUACCAUACAUCCAAGAGUUAAUCAAAACAACUAAGCCAAGACAUGUUAAGCAAGUUUGAAGAGGAAAACUAAAAAGUAAAAGAGGAGGGAUUGUAGAAAGUAAAAAUUUCCUCUUCAAAGUUUUCCUUCUUGUUGAAGAAUAAAUUGUGAGUGUUGGAAAUGAUGGUUUCUUUUGAGGAAUAACUUUCUUCAAGCCUCUUGCUUUGCGUUAAUAACUCUUUGUUAAGCCCUAGCCUAUGUAACUGCUGAACAUGCUCACAGGCACGUUCCAGCUCACACCCUAUGCUCCUUCCUUAUUUGGAAAUGUUAUUGCUUCCUUAAACCUUUUGUAAGCAAUUUCUUUGUUCUUCCCUGUACUUAACUAUUAGGAAAGUUGUAGGCUAUUAGCAAAUCGGGUAUCAGUUUAAGAUUGUGAGGUCCUGCUCCAGCCAAUAGAUGCAGGACACAGCAGUAAGGAUGAACCAAAUGUGUAAGGGAUAAAUAUGUCUGCUUUUCUUUUGUUCAGGUGUGGUCUUGCCAUUGUUCCAUCUGUAAUUGAGCACCCUUUCUGCAGAAAGUAAAGAUGGCCUUGCUGAGAGAUCUUUUGUCUCUGUGCUAACUUUUCUUCCUGGCACCAAUUAUCUAUUUCUAACAAUUUUGGUAUUUCUAACACCAAAGAAAAUGGAAUAUUUAGAUAUAAAUCUAAUAAAACAUGUACAGGAUCUGUAUGCUGAAAUUUUUUUAAAAAUUUAGUUAAAAGAACCAAAGACCUAAGUAAAUGGAGAGAUGUGCAUGGAUUGUAAGUCUGCAAUAAUAAAGAUAUCAAUUCUCUCUACAUUUAUCUAUAGGUGUAACACAAUGCCUAUCAAAAUUUCAGCAAGAUCUUUUUGUAACCGUAGACAAGCUGACACUUAAAUUUAUAUGGAAAGGCAAAAACCCUAGAAUAGCUAAAGCAGUUUUGAAAAGAAGACUAAAAUUUGAGGAAUAACUCUAUUUGAUAAUAACGCUUACAAUAUAACUAUAGUAAUCAAAGCACUGUGGUAUUGGUAGAGGGAUAGUCACAUAGAUCACUGGAAUAGAAUAAAGAAUGCAGAAUGAGAUGCACACAAAUUUACCCAAGUUGUUUUUGACAAAGGUGUAAAAGCAAUUCAACAGGGAAAGGAUAGCCUUUCAACAAAUGGUGCUGGAAUGACUAUGUAUCCAUGGUCAACAAAAUGAAACAUAUGAAAACCUUGGCCUACACAUUAUACGUUAUACGAGAAUCAAUUCAAAAUGGAUCACGGGCAGGCAUGGUGGUAUGAGCCUCUAGUCCCAGCUACUUGGGAGGCUGAAGUGGGAAGAUCACAUGAGCCCAUGAGUUUGAGGCUGCAAUGCACUAUGAUCACACCUGUGAAUAGCCACUGCACACUCCAACUUGGGCAACAUAGUGAGAUCUUGUCUCUAACAUAUAAAAAUAAAAAUAAUGUAAAACUACAAAAAUUUUAGAAUAAGAUAGAGAAGAAAAUCUUCACCAACAAGGGCUAAAGAACUCUUAGACUUGACACCGAAAGCAUAAUACAUACAUGGAAAAAUUGUUAGGUUGGACCUUGUCAGAAUUAAAAACUUUUGCAUUGUAAAAGAUGCUGAUAUGAACAUAACAAUGCAAGUUACAGACUCGGAGAAAAUAUGUGCAAACCACAUAUCUAGCAAAGGACUUAUAUAUAGAAUAUAUAAAGAACUCUUAAAACCAAACCAUAAAAAAUAAAAGAUCCAAUUAAAACAUGGGCAAAAGACACAAAGAGACAUUUCACUGAAGAGGCUAUACAUAUGGUAUUUAAGCACAUGAGAAGAUAGUCAACAUUACUGGCCAUUAGGAAAAUGUAAAUUAAAUCUACAAUGAAAUAUCAGUAUACAUCUACGAGAAUGGCUACAUUUAAAAAUAGUGAUAAUGUCAAAUGUUGACGAGGUUGCAGAAAACUGGAUCAGUUGUACAUUGCUGCUGGGAAUGUAAAAUGGUAUAGUCACACUGGAAAAUAUAUCGACUACUUCUUGUAAAACCAAACACACUUAGAAUCCAGCAAUUACACUUUUGGACAUUUACCUUGGAGAAAUGAGAACUUAAAGUCACACAAAACACUUACAGAAAUGGUCAUGGCAACUUUAUUUGUAAUAGCCCCCAAACUGAAAACAACCCAAAUGUCCUUCAGUGGGUGAAUGUUAAACAAUCUUUGAUAUAUUCAUAUCAUGGAAUGCUACUCAAUAAGAAGAGCCAACUAUGGAUGGAUACAACUUGGAUGGGUUUCAAAGGAAUUACACUAUGUGAAAAAAAAAUCAAUCUUAAAGAAGUCACAUACUGUGUAAUUUCUUUAUGUAACAUUCCCAAAAUGGCAAAAUUAUAGAGAUGGGAAGCAGAUUAGUGGUUGCCAGGGGUUGAUGACUGCUGGUGGGGGAGUGAGGGGUAUGUGGGGUUAUUUAAGCAUAGAAUUGGUACAACUAUAUAUGUACACAGAGACGAGUGCAUGUAAAACUAAUGAAUAAGCUCUAUGGAUUGCACCAAUAUCAGUUUCCUGGUUGUAAUUUUGUAUUAAUGCAGUGUAAGAUGUUACCACUGGGGGAGAAUGAGACAAGAGUCAGAAAAGCUUCUCUGUACAUUUUUUGCAAUUUUCUCUGACUCUAUAACUACUUCACCAUAAAAAGUUAAGACUAAACUCUGCAAUAAAGCCAGAUGUUUAAAAGAUGUUGAGAAAUAUUGGCAUGAUGAAGAGCAAAGUCAGAACAAUGACAUGAAAUAAUAGCAGUCGUGUUGCAAGACUGAGCCUGAACGGACUUGAGGGUUUGGGUUUUGUUGAAGGUUGCUCUAGAGUAUGUUAAGGGUGGGAAGAAAGGAUGGUUAGGCUCACUACUGAGAGACAAUAGUUAGUGUUAAUUAAAACAAACAACAAUAAAAACCCUAACUUUUCUACCUGUAUUUUGUUUCAAACUUCUCUCUCAAGAAGAAUGUUCUUCAGACUGAAGUUGGUGGGAAGCCUGAAGUAGUUGAGAGAUUGGAGUAAGAGGUCCCAACAGGGCCAGAGGCAGAGCCCCAGACGCUUCAUCUUUGUGCGCUGAAAAUUCCAGGCAGGGACCUGGGCAGACAGGUGUGGGAUGAGAAGGACACUCUGGCCAGGAGAUAAAGCCACCAAUUUUCCUGCAUAGACAACUUCCAGCAAAGCCUGGGAGUGGAAAUGACUGAUCAACUUGGAAGAUGAUCCCAAGAGAACGUUCUAGACUAGGAAAUCAGAGCUCAUUUGUGGAAUGCAAGCCCACCCAUGACUUCAAAUGCUACAAAUUCUAGAAGAUUUUAAAAAUGCAUCACCUGUUGAAUGCUGAGUGAGAAAAUAAAGACAACAGAGUUGACUGAAUAUUACAGACCUGAGUUUAACCUAAGACAAACUAAUUAUGAAGCUAUGAACAUAUUUCAGUCAACAUGAAAUACAGAAUAUGUUUCCUGACCAGCACAUCAGUUAUAACAGAAAUCCCCUUAAAGAAUUUUAAAGAAGCUGUGUUUUGAAAACUGUCAUGCUUGGCUUCAGUUUUGUGGUCCCCUUUCAGUGCCCCUGUUUUGCGUUUUCAUUGUAUCACCCAACCUGUGUGUCAGAAUAAGACAUUCAUUAAAAAAAGGGGACAUUUAAUAAGCAUUGGCAUUUUUUCAAGGGAAAAUAUUUAAAUAUGAUUAAAACAAUAGUGAAGCUAAGAAAAACCUGACUAUAUGCUAAAAAUACAGCAUCUAUUAUUAGCAUUCCAGAAAUUCCAAAUUGAAGCACUCCAGACAGUAUUAGUGAUGAUUACGUGCAAAAUGCAGCAAUAAGCCAAACCUAGACUUUCUAUUGACUUGUCUAUUUUCGUAUCUCGCUAGCAGAAAGACUACAUUUCUGGUCAUUUCCAUUAUUGGGGAAUCGUACUUUACCAUUGAUUUCGAAAGGCUCCAUUGCAAUUUGGUGAAAAGCAGCU